rnacentral:rRNA from 1 species
UGGGGAAUCUUCCGCAAUGGACGAAAGUCUGACGGAGCAACGCCGCGUGUAUGACGAAGGCCUUCGGGUUGUAAAGUACUGUCUUUGGGGGACGAACGGUAUCUAUGUAAAUAAUGCAGAUACAUGACGGUACCCAAGGAGGAAGCCCCGGCUAACUACGUGCCAGCAGCCGCGGUAAUACGUAGGGGGCGAGCGUUGUCCGGAAUCAUUGGGCGUAAAGGGCGCGUAGGCGGGUCAUUAAGUCUGGUGUGAAAGGGCAGGGGCUCAACCCCUGGAAGGCACCGGAAACUGGUUAUCUUGAGGACAGGAGAGGGAAAAGCGGAAUUCCACGCGUAGCAGUGAAAUGCGUAGAUAUGUGGAGGAACACCAGUGGCGAAGGCGGCUUUCUGGACUGUAACUGACGCUGAGGCGCGAAAGCGUGGGGAGCAAACAGGAUUUAGAUACCCCUGGUAGUCCACGCCGUAAACGUGAGUGCUAGGUGUAGAGGGUAUCGACCCCUUCUGUGCCGCA